CUCGGCUCUCUGGGCUUUGCGCUCUCGCGUUCUGUGGAGAUCUGCCUCUCUCUAUGCUUUUGUUCUCUGCCCACCCGCAAACUUGCGGUUAAUAAAAAACAACGAUGGGGGCGUCGUCGUCUGCGGUCGCUGCUCUGCUCUCUGGCUCCGGCGACCACAUGAUAAAAGGCCAUCGAGUUGCGCUGCUGCCGGCUUCGCUGCCUUCGUGGGGCCCGCCGCCGUCGACGUCGCAUCAUUUGAAAGCGUCACUUUGUGGAGCUAGCUAGCGUUUAUAUUUAUAAUUUUUUUUUAGUAUUUACUAUUUGUAAUUCGCAAUUCGGAAAUCGCAAAUCUGGUUUCAAAUAUGUGAUAUAAUUUGUUAAGUAUUUAUUUAUAAAACACGCGGCCAGAUUGCUGCACGAAAAGGCGCCACAGCGAGAACGCAACGAACGCAAGGGAAAGCAACAGCAACAAAAGCGCCGAGGAUAGGCAACAACAAGCAAAACCACAAAAACCACCACAAGAAAAAAAAUAAAAAGCGUCAACAAUCGGUGGCGAAAGGAGCUUCAAAGAGGAAAUCAAAUGA